rnacentral:rRNA from 1 species
GCUUGUCUCAAAGAUUAAGCCAUGCAUGUUCAAGUAUAGCAAGUGUACAGUGAAACUGCGAAUGGCUCAUUAAAUCAGUUAUCGUUUAUUUGAUAGUACCUUACUACUUGGAUAACCGUGGUAAUUCUAGAGCUAAUACAUGCUAAAAACCCCAACUUCGGGAGGGGUGUAUUUAUUAGAUAAAAAACCAAUGCCCUUCGGGGCUCUUUGGUGAUUCAUGAUAACUUAACGGAUCGCAUGGCCUUGCGCCGGCGACGGUUCAUUCAAAUUUCUGCCCUAUCAACUUUCGAUGGUAAGGUAUUGGCUUACCAUGGUUUCAACGGGUAACGGGGAAUUAGGGUUCGAUUCCGGAGAGGGAGCCUGAGAAACGGCUACCACAUCCAAGGAAGGCAGCAGG